AAAAUCCCUAGUAUGUUGAUGUGAAUGGCCAUAAAAGACCCAAAUUUCAAAGUUUUAUAUUUUAGAAAAUUAGAUUAUCAUACAAUUCAAAAAAGCAACAAAAGAAUUCCAAUUGGUCCACAAGUAAGACAAUAUAUAUCAUGUUUUUUAACACCAUUGAGGAAUUCUCAAAUGUGAAGGAGCUAUAUUGAUAUGAUAACACAUCUCCAUCUAUUGAUUUUAAAGAAAUAUGCUAUUGCUCUAUCUCAAAGAUGAAAUCCUCUCUCUCAAGUCUCAACAUGCUUCACAAGGUUUACCCAAAAUUGUUAGGUGGUUGAAGAAAAUCGGUGAGUUAAAAAACAUGCUAUCUUUUAAUUGUGCUUUUUAAUCUCAGCCGUUAAUUUGAUCUAUAUUGGAUGUGUAAUAUAUAUAUAUAUAUAUAAUUUCACAUGAAAAAUCAUGAAGUCCAUGUACUAGUUCAUAUGUGUAAAUAUAGUACUAUAUAAAAUAUUUCAUUCAAUUCACAUAUAUCAUAUCAAAGUUCAUACAAAAUAUAAUAUGUUACUAAUUGAAGUGUUAUUUUUAAUGUGUUAUUUAUAAUAUUUUUAAUGUGUUAUUUUGUAAUAUUUUUAAUGUGUUAUUUAUGAUGAUUCUAAGUUACUAAUUGAAGUACUAAAUAUUAACUGAAAUAAAACCAAAACUGAUAAGAAAACACUUCAAAUAUAUUAUAGAUUGAGUAAAAUUUAUUUAGUGCGAAUUAGAUUCGUAGCGAAUUUGAAAUCAAACGGACCGCGUUCUUAGACUGAAAAUUUUGUUUAGAGAAUUUGACAUACUUUUUAAAUUAUUGUCUGUUUUUUUAAAAAUUGUUAUUUUUAAUCAUGAUAAGAACUUUGACAUGUUGAAUGUUGAUUAAGAGGAUAAAAUACACUACACCAAUAUUAAGAAUAUAUAAUGCAUUUUUAACGGCGCUUAUUUUCCAAAAGUGUUAUUAGUUCAAAAAUAUAAAAAAUACAAAGCCUUUAAAUAAUGCUUUUUUAAUAGGGUUUUUUUAAUAACUCAAUUUAAAAAAAAAAAUUAUUAAUAUACUCCUUUUUGAAAAGUUUAUAUCAAACACCAUUGUUUUUACUUAGUUAGAAGUUGCCAUUUGCAAUGACGAUUUUCUUAAAGAAUUUCGAAUUUACAAUAACAACUGUUUAAAGAUUUUUUAAUUUUUUGUUUAAUCGCACAUCAAAGUCACCUUUGCUCUAGUUGAGCACACUUAUUAAUUUUAUUUUUUAUUUGUUAACGUUUUUUGUAUUGACGGUCAAUUAAAGUGUUGUUUUCUUGACAUUGUUAUUUUGUUUAUUUAUCUACUUAGGUUAGGUUAUCAAUUAUUAAGCACACUAAUUAUGGCUUAAAUUUUGGGAUACAUGAAACAAUAUGAAGAACACAAAAGUGGAAAUACCGUGGAAAAGACUGAGGUGUGUUGCGGCCUAAAAUUUCGAGUUUUGGCCUAAAAUACCUUUAAAAAUGUAAAAAUGUAAAAAUGGUCUUUGAAACCAGAUUUUGAGUUCGGGAGUCGAUUAUGCGUAGGAAAGGUAUUAGCACCCUACGACAUCCGUUAAAAUACGGGUUACCUAUAAUUAAUUGUGCAAAAUUAUAUCAACUUAAAUAUAUUUAUUUUUCUUUAUUAUUAAAUAUGAAUAUAAAUUGUGUUUUUAUAAAUGUGAUUUUUGAGAUAAAAGUGUGUUAAAAAGAGUAGAAAAAAAAAAGUUUUUAUUAUUGUGCUUGACAAGAGUGUGAUCUUGCUCCUACGUAUCUCCCGGUGCGAUGGAGAAAUCAAAGCUACGUAGUUCUUGGAGAAAAUGUGAAUGUGUUGAUUGCUUUUAAAUAUAUUGUAUUUUGUUACUUAAAAAAGUUAAUUUUGACGAAGAAAAAAAAACUUGUUUGAUUCGAAUAAAUAUUUUAAAAUAUGAGUUUUAAAACGAUCGGAGUUGUACAACUCGUGUCUCAAAACUCAAGGAGUAAAAAGAUGUCACAUCUAAUUUAACCCUCUUUAAAACAUUUUAUUAUUCUUUUAUAAAAUAGAGUUUCAAGAAGACCAAGUAGUACGACUUGUGUCUUAACAAUUCCAAGAUUAAAAAAAACAUCUAAUUAAAUUUUAAAAAAAGUUGAUUUUUAAUCUAUUCAUUUAUAAAAAUAAAUUUUAAAGCUAUUAAAAUAUAUAAUUUGUAUUGUGCAACUCAGGGAUUAAAAUGUCAUUUUUAAUUUAUUUGCGAAUAUGAGAUUUAGAACCAUCAAAUUGUCACAAUUUGUGUUCUAAUAACUCAAAGAUUAAAAAGAUGUCAAAUCUAGUUAAUUUUUAAUGAAAUAUUUGUUUGUUUUUAAUUUUAAUUUUAUAAUUUUUUUUAGAAAAAAAAAUUGAUACUAAAUAUUAAAUAAGUUUAAACGAUUUUUUUUUUUUGAAAUAAAAUAGUGAAAAGAAAAAUAUAUAGACUUGUAACUUAAUCUAUUAAAUAGAAAAAAAAUAACAUUUUAAUACUAAUUAUAAAUGUAACCCUCUUUUAAACUAUUUUUUUUGAAAUUUAAUAAAUGAAGAAAUAAAAUUCAUUUUUAAAACUAAAUAGCACAAACUAAAGAAAAACUAGUAUAACUUAAAAUAAAUGAUAUUUAUCGCCAUUUAAUUAUGUCGAUCAUUAAAAUAGAAUUAUUAUAAUUAAAUGAAAUAAAUACUGAAAAUAGAGAACCCAACCAAAAUUUCACCCACCCACCACACAAAUAUAUUAUUAAAUCAAUCCAUACUAACUAGCAAUAUUAUCAAUAGAAUGGAAUACAAAUAACAAACAGUUGGCGUGCGUGAGAUGUGUGUAUAGAGUACCAGCCUAGCAGGAUAAACAGGGAUUCAAAAUGCAGAAGAUUUAGCACAAAACUAAUCCAACUACAUCAAAAAUCUCAACCAAAACUCCAUUCAUACCGAUCAAAAUAAAAAUUUCGCGUGGUGGUGUGCUGAUUCUCGUCGGCUGUCGGUUGUUGUUAAUGAUUGAGUAUGUAUAAGGUUAAGGUUAUGGGUUGAUGGGAAGAAAUAUGAUGGCAGAUUCUUCUUCUUUUAUGUUAUUACUCUAUUUCUAUUGUUUUUCGAAAACAAGAAUCAGAAAGAAAGGAAAAUCUCCAAUUUUAU
rnacentral:lncRNA from 1 species